ensembl:lncRNA
AUAAUAAUAAUAAUAAUAAUAAUAAUAGUAAUAAUAAUAAAGUGGAGAUAAAAAGAACAUACGCAUUUAAAGGGUUAUAUUUGAGUAAUUGGAUUAUUUUAUGUAUAAAUAAAAUUUUAAAAUCUUUAUGUACAAACAAUAUAAAUAAUAAUAUAUCGAUUGAAAAUUGGGCAUUCGUAUUAGAUUUGAUGCUUUUUAUUUAUUGUGAGAAUAAGAUACUAUCAGUUUAUGUAUUAUCAAGGACUGUGCACUAUGAUAUAAAUAAUUCAAAAGGUAUGUUGGAUAAAACAGGCAAUUUAAACAGAUGUAAUUAUGACAGUAGUGUUGUCAGUAGUGUUGUCAGUAGUGUUGGCAGUAAUAAUAAUGGAAUAUGCAAUAAAGUUCUUACAACAUCCACAUAUUUUCAUAACAUUUUGGAACAGUAUUACGAAGAUAUAAAAAAUGUCGUAAAAGCUUAUUGUUCUUUUCCUUAUUUAUUAUUUAAAUGUUUAACGAAAGAUACAAACAAAAAUAACAAAAAUCGAAUGUUAACAAUAUAUCAUAAUAUUAUACCCAAGGAAUUAAGUGAUACUUUAUUUUAUAAAAAAAUGGUUGAAGAAUGUGUAUUUAUAUGGUUAUUUUGAAAUACCAAGUGGAAGUUAACAAAAGGCUAACUCGGGUUUAUGGUACAAGGAGUAGCGCCAGUAGUGCCACCAAUAUCAAUGACAACAGUACCAGCAACACUAAUACCAGUGACAGCAGUACUAGCGAUACCAGUACCAGCGACACCAGUACCAAUAAUAUCACCAGUACAAGUUGUACCACUCAUACCAGUUGUACCACUCAUACCAGUGACAGCAUGAGUAACAUUGAUAAUAAACAGAACUCGAAAAUUGUCACUCUGAAAAAAAAAAGUUCCAAGAAAAAAGUGUUAAAACAAAAUAUGCAUUUAGUUUUAUUUCAUAUAAAUUUUAUUUUUGAAAAUUUAUUUUUUUAUUUAAAUUUAUAUUGCAAUGAUGAGAAUGUAGAUAAAACCAUUUUAAUAUAUAUAUUAAAAAAUAUUAUCCCAUUUAUAAAAGUAAUAGAAAAGAAGAACAAUGAAUAUGUUUUAUGUUUAUAUAAUAAACAUAUACACUUUAUACUUCUUUCUAUUGUUCAUAUAAUUUUUUUAUAUAAUAUGAAUUAUUUUUUUUUUGACACAGUUUUUAAUAUAUAUUCAAAAAAUUGUUUACCAUUAUGCGUUGCCAUAAGUAUAGUAAAUAGUAUUAUUCAAUUGUUUCAUGACGAUUGGAGUUAUUUAUUUUUUUAUGAAAAUUUAAAAAAAAAAAAAAAAUUAUUAGUAUCGCAAUCUAAGGGGUUUAAAAAAAAAAAAAAAAAUUAUUAUAACUGGGUUAAUAAGGUUUGGAGUGCUUGUGCGAAAGAUGUAGUAAAAAACAGGCAUGUGAGAAUGUCACAAAAUAAGGAGGAGCAGAACAAAGUAGAACAAAAUACAGAACCAAAAAAUGGAGAACCACGAGUGAUAAACACCAGCACAAGUGACAUAAAAAACAGUACAAGUGACAUAAAAACCAUAUCAAUAAAGUUCCUUAAACAAUUAUUUGCUUAUACAGUAGACAUACUGUUAAUAAGUAUCGAAAAUAACGAAACAGUAGAGGAUACAACUCAGAAAAAAGAAUUUAUGUGUAUACUUCUAAGUAAACUUUUAUAUGUAUUUUCUAUGGAUAUAAAAAAUGGUGAUAAAAAAAAAAAACAAUGUUAUAACUUAUAUACUGUACCAAAAUCGGAAAAACAUUUAGAUAACUUAAGUAAUGAUACUAAUAACAUAAAAAUGUUUGAAAAUAUAAUUAACAUAAUACAUAGCUUAUUUAUUGCCAAUGAUAAAAUAUCUUUAUAUUGUGGUAAUAUAUUGGCACAUUAUUUUAAAUAUAACUUAGAAAAUAAUAAUAAUAAUAAUAAUAAUAAUAAUAAUAAUAAUAAUAAUAAUAAUAAUAAUAAUAAUAAUAAUAAUAAAUCUUUUAAAAGGAAUAAAAAAAUUGAAAGUGUUAUUCAUAAUAAUAAUAUAAAUAAAAUAAAUAAUAUAAAUAAAAUAAAUAAAAUAAAUAANNNNNNNNNNAUAAAAAAAACAAAACCAAAAAGAAUAAAAAAAACAAAAUAUAUGAAUACGACAAAUGAUACUAACUAUAUCAUCCCAAAUGAUUUAUACAAUUCAGAAGAGAAAAGUUUUAUCCUAAAAUUAGAAAAAGAAAAUAAAUACUAUUUAAAUUGUGAAUAUAAUAAAAAUAUGAAUAUAGAACUAUCAGAAGAUAUAUUUGAAUGUUUAGAGAAAAUAAAAUAUAUAACUAGUUAUAUAAAAAAAAAUGAUAAACAAAUUAAUUAUAACUUUUUAAAAAAAAAAAAUAUUGAAGAAAAUAGUGAAGAAGCCAAUUUUCGUAUAUGUCAAACAUUGUUACUAUUACCUCGAUUAAUUAGAACUGAUGAUAGUAAUACAUGUUUUAACGACAGAAGUAGCAGUUAUGAUAGCUGCCUUGUUUUUAUCAAACAUGAUUACAUUAGUUGACGUUUUUGAACAUGCUCAAUAUGUGGCUCAACAAGUGGAUCGACAAGUGGAUCAGUAUGUCGAUCGGUAUGUCGAAUCAGUGGAUGAUGGUGUUCGAAAUAAAGAGGACACUUAUAAGUGGCA